AUACUUACCUGGAUGGGGUCAAUGGGUGAUCACGAAGACUCAUGGUCUAGAUUGGUAACUUUCAUUGCACUUUGAAAGGUUACCGGUUUAAGGUCUGCUCAAGUAGCGGAGCCUACGUCAUAAUUUGUGGCAGUGGGAGCUAGCGUUCGCGCGGUCCCCUC